rnacentral:rRNA from 1 species
UGGGGAAUAUUGCACAAUGGGCGAAAGCCUGAUGCAGCAACGCCGCGUGAGCGAUGAAGGCCUUCGGGUCGUAAAGCUCUGUCCUCAAGGAAGAUAAUGACGGUACUUGAGGAGGAAGCCCCGGCUAACUACGUGCCAGCAGCCGCGGUAAUACGUAGGGGGCUAGCGUUAUCCGGAUUUACUGGGCGUAAAGGGUGCGUAGGCGGUCUUUUAAGUCAGGAGUGAAAGGCUACGGCUCAACCGUAGUAAGCUCUUGAAACUGGAGGACUUGAGUGCAGGAGAGGAGAGUGGAAUUCCUAGUGUAGCGGUGAUAUGCGUAGAUAUUAGGAGGAGCACCAGUAGCGAAGGCGGCUCUCUGGACUGUAACUGACGCUGGGGCACGAGAGCGUGGGGAGCAAACG